UGAAAUUUUGUUUGACUCAAAAAGUAGAAGACAAAAACAACUGAACAUGAUUACGUAAUUGAUAUGUUUGUAAUAUUUCGUCCAAUUGCAACGAGGAAUGAUGACGUGUGCAUACGCCUUUAUCCAAUCAGAUUAAAGAAAUACAGCGAUAGCACACGUCAGCAAGUUGUUCCUAAAUUUUUAUAAACUUUUUAAUUAUUUCAUUUGCGACUUGCGAGAAUUUUUCUACAGCCACAGAAUAGGAAGGUAUACGAGAAGUCUCACUCAAGCAAGUAUUUGUCCGCGUUUUUACAAGCGAUUCGUCAUCAAUCACGCCAUCCUGGCUAGUACAACCGGCACUUUGUACCUACCAAAACCUUAUAAAAACUUCCGGCUGUACUAGCCAGGAUGGCGUGAGUGAGUUAAAAUUUUCGUGGACGUAAACACCGACUCAAGUUACAGUUCUCUGCUAUACUUUCCUAUUUUGUGCUACAGCUGUCCAUUUCAACUCAUCUAAUUUUAUUCAUCAGAAAUAGCUGUAUAGACGGCUAAAUGCGGCAAAAUAAUAAUUUUGAUACAAACAUCUCCAUUGUUAAAUAUUCAUAUAUAGAGCGAUAAUAUAAUUGAGGAAACUGCUUUUCACGGCCGAAUUAGCCAAACAAUAAACAAAGUCUGU